AACGAACGCUGGCGGCAUGCCUUACACAUGCAAGUCGAACGGCAGCACGGGAGCAAUCCUGGUGGCGAGUGGCGAACGGGUGAGUAAAGUAUCGGAACGUGCCCAGUCGUGGGGGAUAACGUAGCGAAAGUUACGCUAAUACCGCAUACGAUCUAUGGAUGAAAGCGGGGGAUCGCAAGACCUCGCGCGAUUGGAGCGGCCGAUAUCAGAUUAGGUAGUUGGUGGGGUAAAGGCCCACCAAGCCGACGAUCUGUAGCUGGUCUGAGAGGACGACCAGCCACACUGGGACUGAGACACGGUCCAGACUCCUACGGGAGGCAGCAGUGGGGAAUUUUGGACAAUGGGCGAAAGCCUGAUCCAGCCAUGCCGCGUGCAGGAUGAAGGCCUUCGGGUUGUAAACUGCUUUUGUACGGAACGAAAAGGACUGCCCUAAUACGGUGGUCCCAUGACGGUACCGUAAGAAUAAGCACCGGCUAACUACGUGCCAGCCGCCGCAGUAAGAC
rnacentral:rRNA from 1 species